UCAGAGGCUGUGACGGGAAGGAGUACAGCGCCCCUUGCAUCGGCAGAGAGGAUGCGGUUGGUGGAAGCAUCCGGGCAAUGCGCUGGAAGUCGUCCCUGAGCCGGCAGGAGGAAAGACCUGCCCGUUUCGGCACGUUACGCCUUUGAGGUGCUCAAGCAAUUGAGAAUGUAGGUGGUACCGCGAACAACUCGUCCUAUAC
rnacentral:ncRNA from 1 species